rnacentral:rRNA from 1 species
GUAUGUCGCAAGCGUUAUCCGGAUUUAUUGGGCGUAAAGCGCGUCUAGGCGGCAAGGAAAGUCUGAUGUGAAAAUGCGGAGCUCAACUCCGUAUGGCGUUGGAAACUGCCUUACUAGAGUACUGGAGAGGUAGGCGGAACUACAAGUGUAGAGGUGAAAUUCGUAGAUAUUUGUAGGAAUGCCGAUGGGGAAGCCAGCCUACUGGACAGAUACUGACGCUAAAGCGCGAAAGCGUGGGUAGCAAACAGGAUUAGAUACCCUGGUAGUCCACGCUGUAAACGAUGAUUACUAGGUGUUGGGGGUCAAACCUCAGCGCCCAAGCUAACGCGAUAAGUAAUCCGCCUGGGGAGU